GAUGAACGCUAGCUACAGGCUUAACACAUGCAAGUCGAGGGGCAGCAUGAACUUAGCUUGCUAAGUUUGAUGGCGACCGGCGCACGGGUGAGUAACACGUAUCCAACCUGCCGAUGACUCGGGGAUAGCCUUUCGAAAGAAAGAUUAAUACCCGAUGGCAUAGUUCUUCCGCAUGGUAGAACUAUUAAAGAAUUUCGGUCAUCGAUGGGGAUGCGUUCCAUUAGGUUGUUGGCGGGGUAACGGCCCACCAAGCCUUCGAUGGAUAGGGGUUCUGCGAGGAAGGUCCCCGACAUUGGAACUGAGACAAGGUCCAAACUCCUACGGGAGGCAGCAGUGAGGGAUAUUGGUCAAUGGACGAGAGUCUGAACCAGCCAAGUAGCGUGAAGGAUGACUGCCCUAUGGGUUGUAAACUUCUUUUAUACGGGCAUAAAGUGAGGCACGUGUGCCUUUUUGUAUGUACCGUAUGAAUAAGGAUCGGCUAACUCCGUG
rnacentral:rRNA from 1 species